GCUGUUCUAGUUUUGUCAAUGAUUACCCUGGCCUGACAAAGGAUCCAGACCAACUCUCAGACGCUGCAGUCCUGUGCCAUCCACUGAGAACAGUUAUCCAGCUAAACUGGGCAUUGGUGACCUUGCAGGGGAAAUGGAAGGCCUAGUUGUCAUGGCACCAGAGGGAGCAGCAGAGGGUGAAACAGCAUCACAAGCCAAGGUGGAAGCAGAAGAACAGGCAGAAGAAACAAGGGAGAUGGAAAUCCCAGAGGGAGCAGGCCCAUGUGAAGGGACGAUCACCCCUGAAAGAGCAGCAGCAGAGCAGGCAGAGGCAGAAGAAGCAGCAGUGGUAGUGAUGGAAGUCUCAGAAGAUCUGGAAGGAGAAAGAGUUGCCGAAGCAUUUGCCAGAGCAGCUGAAAGGAUAGCAAAAUCAGAAGUAGCUAAGGUGUUGCAAUCAGCAAUAGCUGAGCUAAAAGAGAAGAGGAGGAACGCAUGGCUAAAGCCGAGGAACAGCUCUCAACAGGAGGAGAAGGAAUGGGUAG